rnacentral:rRNA from 1 species
CCUACGGGCGGCUGCAGUGGGGAAUAGUGGACAAUGGGGGGAACCCUGAUCCAGCCAUGCCGCGUGUGUGAAGAAGGCCCUCGGGUUGUAAAGCACUUUCAGUGAGGAAGAACGCCUGGUGGUUAAUACCCAUCAGGAAAGACAUCACUCACAGAAGAAGCACCGGCUAACUCCGUGCCAGCAGCCGCGGUAAUACGGAGGGUGCGAGCGUUAAUCGGAAUUACUGGGCGUAAAGCGCGCGUAGGUGGCUUGAUAAGCCGGUUGUGAAAGCCCCGGGCUCAACCUGGGAACGGCAUCCGGAACUGUCAAGCUAGAGUGCAGGAGAGGAAGGUAGGAUUCCCGGUGUAGCGGUGAAAUGCGUAGAGAUCGGGAGGAAUACCAGUGGCGAAGGCGGCCUUCUGGACUGACACUGACACUGAGGUGCGAAAGCGUGGGUAGCAAACAGGAUUAGAUAACCGAGUAGUC